rnacentral:rRNA from 1 species
AUCUGGCUGUCGAGAUGCCUAAAAAGCAUUUCAUAGCAAGGGCCGGGCAAGACCGGUGCCAGCCGCCGCGGUAACACCGGCGGCUCGAGUGGUAACCGUUAUUAUUGGGUCUAAAGGGUCUGUAGCCGGCCGGAUAAGUCUCUUGAGAAAUCUGGCAGCUUAACUGUCAGGCUUUCAGGAGAUACUGUCUGGCUCGAGGCCGGGAGAGGUGAGAGGUACUUCAGGGGUAGGGGUGAAAUCUUGUAAUCCUUGAAGGACCACCAGUGGCGAAGGCGUCUCACCAGAACGGACCUGACGGCAAGGGACGAAAGCUAGGGGCACGAACCGGAUUAGAUACCCGGGUAGUCCUAGCCGUAAACGAUACUCGCUAGGUGUCGGCCACGGUGCGACCGUUGUCGGUGCCGUAGGGAAGCCG